rnacentral:rRNA from 1 species
ACACAGGUGCUGCAUGGCUGUCGUCAGCUCGUGUCGUGAGAUGUGGUUAAGUCCGCAACGAGCGCAACCCUUGCCACUAAUUGCCAUCAUUUGGUUGGGCACUUUAGUGGGACUGCCGGUGACAAACCGGAGGAAGGUGGGGAUGACGUCAAGUCCUCAUGGCCCUUAUGGGUAGGGCUUCACACGUCAUACAAUGGUCGGUACAGAGGGUUGCCAAGCCGCGAGGUGGAGCUAAUCUCUUAAAGCCGAUCGUAGUCCGGAUCGUAGUCUGCAACUCGCCUGCAUGAAGUCGGAAUCGCUAGUAAUCGCAGGUCAGCAUACUGCGGUGAAUACGUUCCCGGGCCUU